rnacentral:lncRNA from 10 species
CUCAGGAGGCUGAAGCAGGAGAAUCACUUGAACCCAGGAGGCAGAGGUUGGAGUGAGCUGAGAUCGUAUCACUGCACUCCAGCCUGGUGACAGAGUGAGACUCCGCUUUAAAAAACAACCCCCAAAAAACUAGCUCUCAAGACUUUUAUGAUAGCUCUCUUCUCUUACAGCUGUUUUUGGGUUACGACCCCCAUAUUUUCCAACAAGCUACCAUUUUCUACCUUCCGCUUUUACAUUCACAGUCACUGGACACUUAGCAGAUGACGGCUCUGGUUGAGGCAGCAGCUGAGAGGGCAGCAGUGCAGCACACUCUCCUCCAUGCCACCUGGGUUUCCAGAGGAGACCAUGAUUUUUUUUAUUAUUUUUUGAGACAAAGUUUUGCUCUUGUUGUCCAGGCUGGAGUGCAACGGC